GGCUGGUCCGAAGGUAGUGAGUUAUCUCAAUUGAUUGUUCACAGUCAGCUACAGAUCGAACUCCUUGUUCUACUCUUUCCCCCCUUCUCACUACUGCACUUGACUAGUCUUUU
rnacentral:Y_RNA from 1 species